rnacentral:sRNA from 12 species
AAGAGGAAGCGCCCAUGCAUCGGAGAUGCAUAUCGGAAUGGCGCUGACGAACUGCCGCCGAAUGUAAAUGAGGGGGCGUUACAACGA